rnacentral:rRNA from 1 species
CCGACACAGGUGGUCAGGUAGAGAAUACCAAGGCGCUUGAGAGAACUCGGGUGAAGGAACUAGGCAAAAUGGUGCCGUAACUUCGGGAGAAGGCACGCUGACACGUAGGUGAAGUGAUUUACUCAUGGAGCUGAAGUCAGUCGAAGAUACCAGCUGGCUGCAACUGUUUAUUAAAAACACAGCACUGUGCAAACACGAAAGUGGACGUAUACGGUGUGACGCCUGCCCGGUGCCGGAAGGUUAAUUGAUGGGGUCAGCGCAAGCGAAGCUCCUGAUCGAAGCCCCGGUAAACGGCGGCCGUAACUAUAACGGUCCUAAGGUAGCGAAAUUCCUUGUCGGGUAAGUUCCGACCUGCACGAAUGGCGUAAUGAUGGCCAGGCUGUCUCCACCCGAGACUCAGUGAAAUUGAACUCGCUGUGAAGAUGCAGUGUACCCGCGGCAAGACGGAAAGACCCCGUGAACCUUUACUAUAGCUUGACACUGAACAUUGAGCCUUGAUGUGUAGGAUAGGUGGGAGGCUUUGAAGCGUGGACGCCAGUCUGCGUGGAGCCGACCUUGAAAUACCACCCUUUAAUGUUUGAUGUUCUAACGUGGACCCGUAAUCCGGGUUGCGGACAGUGUCUGGUGGGUAGUUUGACUGGGGCGGUCUCCUCCUAAAGAGUAACGGAGGAGCACGAAGGUUGGCUAAUCCUGGUCGGACAUCAGGAGGUUAGUGCAAUGGCAUAAGCCAGCUUGACUGCGAGCGUGACGGCGCGAGCAGGUGCGAAAGCAGGUCAUAGUGAUCCGGUGGUUCUGAAUGGAAGGGCCAUCGCUCAACGGAUAAAAGGUACUCCGGGGAUAACAGGCUGAUACCGCCCAAGAGUUCAUAUCGACGGCGGUGUUUGGCACCUCGAUGUCGGCUCAUCACAUCCUGGGGCUGAAGUAGGUCCCAAGGGUAUGGCUGUUCGCCAUUUAAAGUGGUACGCGAGCUGGGUUUAGAACGUCGUGAGACAGUUCGGUCCCUAUCUGCCGUGGGCGCUGGAGAACUGAGGGGGGCUGCUCCUAGUACGAGAGGACCGGAGUGGACGCAUCACUGGUGUUCGGGUUGUCAUGCCAAUGGCACUGCCCGGUAGCUAAAUGCGGAAGAGAUAAGUGCUGAAAGCAUCUAAGCACGAAACUUGCCCCGAGAUGAGUUCUCCCUGAGACUUAGAGUCUCCUGAAGGAACGUUGAAGACGACGACGUUGAUAGGCCGGGUGUGUAAGCGCAGCGAUGCGUUGAGCUAACCGGUACUAAUGAACCGUGAGGCUUAACCUUAC